rnacentral:rRNA from 1 species
AGUGAACGCUGGCGGUAGGCCUAACACAUGCAAGUCGAACGGCAGCACAGUAAGAGCUUGCUCUUACGGGUGGCGAGUGGCGGACGGGUGAGGAAUACAUCGGAAUCUACUUUUUCGUGGGGGAUAACGUAGGGAAACUUACGCUAAUACCGCAUACGACCUACGGGUGAAAGCAGGGGAUCUUCGGACCUUGCGCGAUUGAAUGAGCCGAUGUCGGAUUAGCUAGUUGGCGGGGUAAAGGCCCACCAAGGCGACGAUCCGUAGCUGGUCUGAGAGGAUAAUCGGCCACACUGGAACUGAGACACGGUCCAGACUCCUACGGGAGGCAGCGGUGGGGAAUAUUGGACAAUGGGCGCAGGCCUGAUCCAGCCAUACCGCGUGGGUGAAGAAGGCCUUCGGGUUGUAAAGCCCUUUUGUUGGGAAAGAAAAGCAGCAGGUUAAUACCCCGCUGUUCUGACGGUACCCAAAGAAUAAGCACCGGCUAACUUCGUG